UGAACGCUGGCGGCAGGCCUUACACAUGCAAGUCGAGCGAGAAAUUUUCUUCGGAAAAGAGUAAAGCGGCGGACGGGUGAGUAACGCGUAGGAAUCUACCUAGUAGUGGGGGACAACAUGUGGAAACGCAUGCUAAUACCGCAUACGCCCUAUGGGGGAAAGCAGGGGAUCUUCGGACCUUGCGCUAUUAGAUGAGCCUGCGUCGGAUUAGUUUGUUGGUAGGGUAAUGGCCUACCAAGACUACGAUCCGUAGCUGGUCUGAGAGGAUGAUCAGCCACACUGGGACUGAGACACGGCCCAGACUCCUACGGGAGGCAGCAGUGGGGAAUAUUGGACAAUGGGCGCAAGCCUGAUCCAGCCAUGCCGCGUGUGUGAAGAAGGCUCUAGGGUUGUAAAGCACUUUCAGUAGGGAGGAAAAGUUAGUAGUUAAUAACUGCUAGCCCUGACGUUACCUACAGAAGAAGCACCGGCAAACUCCGUGCCAGCAGCCGCGGUAAUACGGAGGGUGCGAGCGUUAAUCGGAAUUACUGGGCGUAAAGCGCGCGUAGGCGGUUUGAUAAGCUGGAUGUGAAAGCCCCGGGCUCAACCUGGGAACUGCAUCCAGAACUGUCUGACUAGAAUACAAUAGAGGUGAGUGGAAUUUCCUGUGUAGCGGUGAAAUGCGUAGAUAUAGGAAGGAACAUCAGUGGCGAAGGCGACUCACUGGAUUGA
rnacentral:rRNA from 1 species